rnacentral:rRNA from 1 species
AUUGAACGCUGGCGGCAGGCCUAACACAUGCAAGUCGAGCGAGCGGCGGACGGGUGCGUAAUGUUGGGGAAACUGUCUGAUGGAGGGGGAUAACUACUGGAAACGGUAGCUAAUACCGCAUACCAUCAGAUGUGCCCAGAGGGGGUUAGCUAGUAGGGGGGGUAACUGCCCACCUAGGCGACGAUCCCUAGCUGGUCUGAGAGGAUGACCAGCCACACUGGGACUGAGACACGGCCCAGACUCCUACGGGAGGCAGCAGUAGGGAAUAUUGCGCAAUGGGCGCAAGCCUGAUGCAGCCAUGCCGCGUGUGUGAAGAAGGCCUUCGGGUUGUAAAGCACUUUCAGCGGGGAGGCGUUACCCGCAGAAAAAGCACCGGCUAACUCCGUGCCAGCAGCCGCGGUAAUUC